GACUACAUGAAGCCGGAAUCGCUAGUAAUCGCGGAUCAGAAUGCCGCGGUGAAUACGUUCCCGGGUCUUGUACACACCGCCCGUCACACCAUGGGAGUCGGAAAUGCCCGAAGCCGGUGACCCAACCCGAAAGGGAGGGAGCCGUCGAAGGCAGGUCGGAUGACUGGGGUGAAGUCGUAACAAGGUAAC
rnacentral:rRNA from 1 species